CAUAUCAAUAAGCGGAGGAAAAGAAACCAACAGGGAUUGCCCUAGUAACGGCGAGUGAAGCGGCAACAGCUCCAAAUUUGAAAUCCUGGCGUCUUUGGCGUCCGAGUUGUAAUUUGCAGAGGGCGCUUUGGCAUUGGCAGCGGUCCAAGUUCCUUGGAACAGGACGUCACAGAGGGUGAGAAUCCCGUACGUGGUCGCUAGCCUUUACCGUGUAAAGCCCCUUCGACGAGUCGAGUUGUUUGGGAAUGCAGCUCUAAAUGGGAGGUAAAUUUCUUCUAAAGCUAAAUACUGGCCAGAGACCGAUAGCGCACAAGUAGAGUGAUCGAAAGAUGAAAAGCACUUUGGAAAGAGAGUUAAAAAGCACGUGAAAUUGUUGAAAGGGAAGCGCUUGCAGCCAGACUUGCCUGUAGUUGCUCAUCCGGGUUUUUACCCGGUGCACUCUUCUAUAGGCAGGCCAGCAUCAGUUUGGGCGGUUGGAUAAAGGUCUCUGUCAUGUACCUCUCUUCGGGGAGAACUUAUAGGGGAGACGACAUGCAACCAGCCUGGACUGAGGUCCGCGCAUCUGCUAGGAUGCUGGCGUAAUGGCUGUAAGCGGCCCGUCUUGAAACACGGACCAAGGAGUCUAACAUCUAUGCGAGUGUUUGGGUGUCAAGCCCGAACGCGUAAUGAAAGUGAACGGAGGUGGGAACCUUUCGGGGUGCACCAUCGACCGAUCCUGAUGUCUUCGGAUGGAUUUGAGUAAGAGCAUAGCUGUUGGGACCCGAAAGAUGGUGAACUAUGCUUGAAUAGGGUGAAGCCAGAGGAAACUCUGGUGGAGGCUCGCAGCGGUUCUGACGUGCAAAUCGAUCGUCAAAUUUGGGCAUAGGGGCGAAAGACUAAUCGAACUAUCUAGUAG
rnacentral:sRNA from 1 species